AGGAGCUUUUGUAGUAAUACAGAGGAUUUCCUAGUGGCGAACGGGUGAGUAACGCGUUGGUGACCUGCCCCGAAGUGUGGGAUAACAGUCCGAAAGGACUGCUAAUACCUCAUGUGGUCAUAGAGGUUAGAGUCUUUAUGACUAAAGCAGUAAUGCGCUUCGGGAGGGGCCUGCGUCCCAUCAGCUAGUUGGUAGGGUAAUGGCCUACCAAGGCGAUGACGGGUAGGGGGACUGAGAGGGUGGCCCCCCACAAUGGAACUGAAACACGGUCCAUACACCUACGGGUGGUAGCAGUAGGGAAUAUUGGGCAAUGGGCGAAAGCCUGACCCAGCAACGCCGCGUGUGCGAUGAAGGCCUUCGGGUCGUAAAGCACUUUUCUGGGAGAUGAGAAAGGACAGUAUCCCAGGAAUAAGUCUCGGCUAACUACGUGCCAGCAGCCGCGGUAACACGUAGGAGGCAAGCGUUAUCCGGAUUUACUGGGCGUAAAGCGCGUGCAGGCGGUUCGGUAAGUUGGAUGUGAAAGCUCCUGGCUCAACUGGGAGAGGUCGUUCAAUACUACCGGACUUGAGAGUGGUAGAGGAAGGCGGAAUUCCCGGUGUAGUGGUGAAAUGCGUAGAUAUCGGGAGGAACACCAGUGGCGAAGGCGGCCUUCUGGACCAUUUCUGACGCUCAGACGCGAAAGCUAGGGGAGCGAACGGGAUUAGAGACCCCGGUAGUCCUGGCAGUAAACGAUGUGAACUUGGCGUUGGUGGUGUAAAAACCAUCAGUGCCGAAGCUAACGCGAUAAGUUCACCGCCUGGG
rnacentral:rRNA from 1 species